rnacentral:tRNA from 1 species
AUUUAAAUAGUUUAAGAAUUAAAACAUUAAUUUGUGGAAUUAGGGAUUAUAUUUAUUUAUAUUUAGAUA